AUCUCUUUUUUUUUUUUGGGAGGGGUGGUAGACAGGUGACAAGCUGAACCAUGAGGAGCCUUCUGUCAUAUGAGGGCAACCGGACUCCUCGGAAACGAACCUACCACUGCAAAGGGCAAGGCUGCCAUUUUACUCCGAAUACAGAGCGGGGCACGUGGCUGGGCGCCCAACUCCGUGCACAUGGUCUGCAGGGCAGAAGUUUGGAACCCUGUCCUUGAACUCCGUUCUGCACCGAGGCCCAGCCUUCCACAGCCUCGGCAAGAGCGAGCGUUACCCUUGGCCGUCCGUUUCCAGCCCGGCCGCGCGCCCACGCCGGCUCGACCCCACCUACAGGAGGCACGACCUCUGACCCCGGGGGUUUCGUGCGGCGCGCGGCCUCCGAGUCCCGGCCGGCCGCUUCCGGGGGCCGCGCGCUGCGCUGUGCUGGCGGUGGGAGCCCGCGGCCGCGAGGCCGGAGCGCCGGGCGGGGGAGGGGCGGCGGCGGCGGCGGCGGGGCCGGGCGCGUGCGCGCGCACAGCUCACACUCCGCCGCCCGGGGACGCCCACUCGCGAGUCGGGGCGGCAGGCCGGCCCGCGCCCCGUCGUCCCCCAACUGGCUCCUAGCAGGCGUGCGCCCAACGAGUGUCAGCGCCGCGGCCGUUCCCCGCUCUUGUAGGCCUCCAGCGGGCUGGGGACGAGGGCCGGGCCGCAGCCACCGGGAGGCAGCGCGGAGGAGGCCCCCGUGGCAGCCCAGCGGCAGGAAGGAGACGGUGCAGACCUCCGCCCGCCCGCCUCGCCAGGGCGGAGCGAGGAAUGAGCAGGCGCCAGCCCGGGGUUCUCGGACCGAGGUCCGCGGCCCGGCUUCCUCCCACGCCGCGGAGGCGCGGGGAUUCGGGCCCGGCGGCCGGGAUCGGCUACGGAGCAGGCGCCCCGGGUCCCUGAGCUGGCCGCGGCGAGCUGGAGGAGGAGCCGAGUGGGGGCGGCCUCAGCGCUUCCCUCCCGUUCCCUCCCGUGCCGUCCCCUCCCCCGCGCGCGCCCAGGCCGCUCCGUGGCCGCGGGAGGAGGAAGUUCCGCUGGCUGACAGACGCGCGCGCGCGGCGGCGGCGGCGGCGGCUCGGAGGGCCGAGGUGUUGGGGACGCGACCGCCCCGCGUGCCAGCCGUCGAGCGGGCGGCGUCGGAGCCGAGCCCCGGAGCCCGUGGAGCGGCGGCGGCGGCGGUGGCGGCGGGACGCGCGGGUGGUCGGCCGCUCCCGCCGGCUCCUUCCACCCCCAUCCUCCCCGCGCGCGCCGGCCGCGGCUUCCCAGCGCGGUGGACACCUUCCUCCCUUGUUGGGGACUGCCGAGGCUGGGCACUGUGCGACAGAGGCGUCCCGGGAGCUCGCCAAGCUCCUUUCUGGGGCGAGGGAACCCCGAUUGAGCAUCUCGCGGGUGCAGCAAUGGAAGAAGCCACCUUGCAGCUUUUCUGCAGUGUGGCUCGCCCGGUCUGCUCCUGGGAAUGAAGAGGAGACUUAUGGCCACCCGAUGAGGUUCUGAAAGCCAGAUGGCAAGGCGCUAUUACGGGACACAAGCUGGCUGUCGCUGGAGAGGUCACCCAGGUUUUUGGGGUAAUUGGAGAGCGUGAGAGGUGCCCUCUUUUUUUUUUUUUUUUUUGAAUACAGAAAACCCCAAAAGCACAAGAAUUCUUUAGGAGGAGAACGGUUGAGUUUAUCCAUUUCUUUUUUGAAGACGGUUCCAUGUAUUGUACAUUUGGCAUAAGAUGAGAACUUUGUGAAAUAU
rnacentral:lncRNA from 1 species